UACGUAGGGCGCAAGCGUUAUCCGGAAUUAUUGGGCGUAAAGAGCUCGUAGGCGGUUUGUCGCGUCUGCCGUGAAAGUCCGGGGCUCAACUCCGGAUCUGCGGUGGGUACGGGCAGACUAGAGUGAUGUAGGGGAGACUGGAAUUCUCGGUGUAGCAGUGAAAUGCGUAGAUAUCGAGAGGAACACCAGUGGCGAAGGCGAGUCCCUGGACAACACCUGACACUGAGGCACGAAAGCUAGGGGAGCAAACAGG
rnacentral:rRNA from 1 species